rnacentral:rRNA from 1 species
GUCCAGCCGUAAACUUUAAAUUACCCCAUAUACCGCCAGGGAACUACGAGCUAAGCUUAAAACCCAAAGGACUUGACGGUACCCCAUGUCCCUCUAGAGGAGCCUGUCCUAUAAUCGAUAACCCCCGUUUAACCUCACCAUUUUUAGCUAAUCAGUUUGUAUACCUCCGUCGCCAGCUUACCACGUGAGCGAAGUAUAGUGAGCUUAAUGUCCACACGCCAACACGUCAGGUCAAGGUGCAACAAAUAAAAUGGAAAGAGAUGGGCUACACUUUCUAAUUUAGAAAAUACGAAAAACUAUUUAUGAAAUUCUAGUUUGAAGGCGGAUUUAGUAGUAAAAAGAAACCAGAGUGUUCUUUUUAACAAGGCCCUGGGGUGUGUACACACCGCCCGUCACCCUCUUCAAAGCUAUUUAUUAGUUAUUAACAAAUUUUUGCAUUAUAGAAGAGGCAAGUCGUAACAUGGUAAGUAUACCGGAAGGUGUGCUUGGAAUC